rnacentral:rRNA from 1 species
UACGGAGGGUGCAAGCGUUAUCCGGAUUCACUGGGUUUAAAGGGUGCGUAGGUGGGUUGGUAAGUCAGUGGUGAAAUCUUGGAGCUUAACUCCGAAACUGCAUUCGAUGCUGCCGUGCUUGAGGACUGGAGAGGAGACUGGAAUUUACGGUGUAGCGGUGAAAUGCGUAGAUAUCGUAAGGAAGACCAGUGGCGAAGGCGGGCCUCUGGACAGUUCCUGACGCUGAAGCACGAAGGCCAGGGGAGCAAACGGG